AUGAACGCUGGCGGCGUGCCUAAGACAUGCAAGUCGAGUGGGUUUAGACCCACGGCGAACGGGUGAGUAAUACCUAGGAACUUUCUUUAAGUGGAACAUAACCAGCCGAAAGGUUGGAUAAUAUUCCAUGUGAUCGCAAGAUUAAAGUCGCAAGACGCUUAAAGUGAGGCCUGGGCACCAUCAGCUAGUUGGUAGGGUAACGGCCUACCAAGGCUAUGACGGUUAGGGGCCCCGAGAGGGGAGACCCCCACACUGGGACUGCGACACGGCCCAGACUCCUACGGGAGGCAGCAGUUUGGAAUUUUGGACAAUGGACGAAAGUCUGAUCCAGCGACGCCGCGUGGACGAUGAAGGCCUUCGGGUUGUAAAGUCCUUUUGCUAGGGAACAAUAUUUUGAGCGUACCUAGAGAAUAAGAGGUUGCUAACUCUGU
rnacentral:rRNA from 1 species